rnacentral:lncRNA from 1 species
AAUUAAUAAUUGUAUUUUUAAGAUCUAAUUUAUUAAACUGGAGGAUAACGAAAAAAGAAAGGUCAUAACAUUAAAAAUAAAUAUCUACCAGUCCUAUGGAAAGCGUUUAAUUCUUCCAAAUAAAGAAAAAAUAACUGACACCUCCGAUUAAAUUUUUCAACAGGUCAAAUAUAACACAUUUUUCAAUGUUCCUCAAUUGUCCAUCAAGAGUCCACGAGAAGGAAUUACUACAUCAGCAUCCAUAGAAAUGCACACUAGUUCCACCAAUUGGAAAAUACGACUUGACCAUCUUAUAAAUAAAGGCAGUAGUAUACCGAAAUUCAUAAAUCUAUUGAAAAAAAACCAAGUCCGGGUUACAAUACAAGUUGUACUUAAUUCUUCUUAAUUUGUCUCUUACUGUAGUCUCUAAUUUCACUUGUUUUUACAGUAAAACAAACAAAAAAUACCGUAAAACAAAAAAUAAAAACAUGUAUGAGCAAUAAUUCUUAAAAAUCACCCUCCCCUUUAAAAACCAGACGCGAAAAAAAAGCAGCUAAAACACUCAAUAAUACCCGUAUGCUAUUCAUGGCCAUCCAUGGUUGAUGAAAAAGUGUCAAGUGUUUCCAAUUAAACAGUUUUACAGUCAAACUAUAUUAUGGAUGUGACUAUGGUCACUUCAUUAAGUCACUUCAUAUGAACUUUUAUUUUCGAAUGUGUGUACAUUUAGAUACAUACAUACUAUUGGCUUGAAGGUUGCCAGCUAAAGAAUCCAGUCUUAAGUAAAUGUAAAUAAUGUUCUGUUUAUCUAAUUAAGUAAACGCACAUAAAAGUGCCAUAGUCCUCAGGUGAAGUAUUAUCAUCAGACAGACAAAAACACUAAUGACACAUUAAUGCAUUACACUGGAAAGAGAUGCUGUCAUACGUGUGAUCAUUAUGCAACUGUUUUGUUAUUGGAAUAGUGCAUAGAACAUUAACCACCA